AAUGGCUCAACUCCAACUAUAUGACCUAAUAUUGCGUCCCUUUUCUUCAGUCUUCUUAUUCGAUGGAAACUCUGCAGUUGUGGCAUAAAGCUUAUGGAGUCCUAACAAUUAUUAUGAGUCUCUUUGUCUACAACAAUCUCAGCCAUAGUCAAAGCUACCAAUCAUGUCGAGCGUUCUCCUAAAGAUCGUCAUCUCAUAACAAUAGCAGUGACUUGUGCUCGAGCAGAUGUUGCUUAUUGCAUUGACUUCUCUAGCCGCUAGCAUAAAACCAGAAAUUGGACGGUUGUACUGAAAACACCAAUGUGAUUUACUGGCUUCUAAGGGAAGGAUACCCCACAUUUCCUAGAGGAGCUUCUUAAUUUUUUAAGAGAGUUCAGACUUCAGAUUCUGCAGUUCUCUAAAUUCAAUUAGGGAUUGUUCAGCUUGGGUACAUACUUAUGCAUUGUUUCUUGAGGAACGCUUUGAACGCUUCAUGAUUUUAAAAUAUGAUUCGGAGGCAGAACGUACGUAACGUCUUCCUAAGACCAUUCCAUGGUAGGAUAAGGUAUCAAAUAGUCAUUUACAUUGACUUUUGUUUUGCGUUUCGAACUCCUUUUCAGAUGGUUUCUAUUUUGCGUGUUAUGGAUUGGCAGAGUAA